UGCAGCUUUUGUGUUUGGUGGAUGCAUAUGAUUCAGCCAUGUUACUGAGAUUUGGUUCUCUUGAGCUGUACCUGUCUUCACAUGUAAAAGUUAAAUUGAGGAUCUACUGUGGUUGCCAGAUAUCAAGAAGACUGUGACUAGCAGGUUUGAACUCCACCCAUAUUGGUUGCAAGUUGUCACCGAGUUGCAUCUGAAAAAAGGAAGAUAAAUCAGCCUAUAAUAACAAGGAACCCUUGUGGUCACAAUACAAUAAAUUGAUUAUCACUUGAGCUACAGAAGUCCAAUUGAGGCGAUUCAAGAUGUGUUGAGAAGCUAAUUGAAAGAGCUACAAGUUCAAAAAGGCAACUUAGGCUAACUCCACUUGGGUCAAACACAAGAUCAUGUCAAAAUUCAUGUGCUGUUUUUGGUCGAGGUUUUGAGUUCUUUAGGGAAUAUGAGUUCAUGUAAAUUUACCCCCCACCCAUGCACGCAUCACACUAUCCCACUUUCCUCCCUUUCGUGUUCAACCAUACUGUUGGUGUGUUCUGUAUUGGUGUCAGCCUUGUUACCUGUUAGCUAUGAUUGAAAUCUAUCUUUAUACCGGUGGAGUUGUGCCUGAGGCUCUCCAUUAAUGUUAUACAUAUUUCAGAAAUACCGUUGGCCCAUUGGAUUCCUUUCCUACUUCCCUUUGUUCCAAAAUAAUUGAAAUUUGGCUUCAUGGUUUUCUAUAUAUGCAUGACCAUCAAAGUCGUUCUAUGUGCA